AGUGGCGGACGGGUGAGUAACACGUGGGAACGUGCCCUUUGGUACGGAAUAACUCAGGGAAACUUGAGCUAAUACCGUAUGUGCCCUUCGGGGGAAAGAUUUAUCGCCAUUGGAGCGGCCCGCGUCUGAUUAGCUAGUUGGUGAGGUAAUGGCUCACCAAGGCUACGAUCAGUAGCUGGUCUGAGAGGAUGACCAGCCACAUUGGGACUGAGACACGGCCCAAACUCCUACGGGAGGCAGCAGUGGGGAAUCUUGCGCAAUGGGCGAAAGCCUGACGCAGCCAUGCCGCGUGGAUGAUGAAGGUCUUAGGAUUGUAAAAUCCUUUCACCGGGGACGAUAAUGACGGUACCCGGAGAAGAAGCCCCGGCUAACUUCGUGCCAGCAGCCGCGGUAAUACGAAGGGGGCUAGCGUUGCUCGGAAUUACUGGGCGUAAAGGGCGCGUAGGCGGACAUUUAAGUCGGGGGUGAAAUCCCAGGGCUCAACCCUGGAACUGCCUUCGAUACUGGAUGUCUUGAGUGCGGGAGAGGUGUGUGGAACUCCGAGUGUAGAGGUGAAAUUCGUAGAUAUUCGGAAGAACACCAGUGGCGAAGGCGACACACUGGCCCGUUACUGACGCUGAGGCGCGAAAGCGUGGGGAGCAAACAGGGUUAGAUACCCUGGUAGUCCACGCCGUAAACGAUGAUUGCUAGUUGUCGGAG
rnacentral:rRNA from 1 species